CACUCCUGUCCAAAACUACUACAAAAGAAACCGGGAACAUUCACAAGCGCACUUGCUAAACACCUUCUGUUUCUUCCUUGUUUUGUUCAAUCCAACUUUACUUUCAUUCUCCAUUAGCUAUGGCUGAUACACUACUCAUUGAUCUCUUCAAGCAAUUGGGUUCAAUCGCUGUUCAGCUUGCUAAGCAAGAGAUCAACUUGCUAGUUGCCGUUGAUGAAGAAGUCCAAAAGCUUCAAGGCAAGCUCGGAAUGAUCAAGGCAAUGCUGGACGAUGCUGAGGAAAGACAUGCAGUGAAGCGGCGAACGGAGAAGCUUUGGUUAGAGCAGCUCCUAAACCAGUACUACGUGAUGGAUGACAUCUUGGACACCUGGAACACUGCAAGGAUCAGAGCAGAGAUUGAGAAAGAAGAAGGAAAACCAGCUGAUACUAACGCUCCUGCUGUUGUCAAGAAGAAGAUCAAAGCUUCUCCAAAAACAUUACCAAAGAGUUAACAGAAAGAACUGGCACAAGAUUUCCGGCAUCUCUAACAUUGAAUUGGGUGGGAUGUAUGUGCAAAGAGACGGUGAACCCCAGUUUGAUUCAAAGACUAAAAUAAACAUGCGGAAGAACAAGCGGAAGUAGACAAUGAUGAUGUGGUUGAGGUGGACAAGAAUCAUGAGGAAGUUGGGGCUGACUCCGCUGAGUGUGUGGUGGAUGAACAAGUGGAAGUAGACAAUGAUAAGGGAGAUCUGUGAAGUAGACAGAUACAUAUUAUGAGAUUGGAUAAUAAGAGCAAGGUGUUGAAGACCACAAAGGAGGAGCUGGUGGAUGAAAGAAAUUGAGGACCUGGUUUUUUGAGUAAUCAUUGUGAGAGAGAAGAAGAAUUUAAAAGUAUCUUUUGUGGAUAUUUGAGGGUGGCUUUGGCUGGAUAAUAAGAGCAAGGCGUUGAAGUGGACAAAAUUUUUGAAGACUACAAAUGAGGAUGAUUUAUAGCAUUGUAUGCUAUUUUUGAUGAGGAGUACUUGUGCUUGAUUCCCAAGUCACCCUUUUACCUUGAAGGAGCUGGUGGAGAACUUGGAAAUAAGCUAGGCCAGGAUGUGAGUCUGUAUAUCUAAAAAAUCAAGGUAUGGAUGCUACAGUGUUUUCUCUUGCUUUGGUGUUAAAUGUGUUGUUUGUCAUGCCUGGCAAUUGGGAGCAGGUCACCUUUGAAAGUUAGUAGAGGAAGAACUUGAAGAGGAGAAUUUGUGUAGUAGCUAAUUCUAACUUUAAGGCUUGGCUUUGCAGUUGCCAUUAUGCAUACCUGUAAGUACUUCUUUCCAAUCUUUUCACAUAAUAGCGAAAUUUGUUUGAAGUACUUUGUACAAGUGCAUGCUUUUGUGGAAUUUCAAUUUUCUAAUAAUUAAUCGCCUAAAAUAAUAUUGCAAACGAAAGAAGUGCUAGUGUUAAUGAUGUUCAAUUAGCCAUGGUAUAUGAAUGCUUUUGUUCAUCAUCCCUCGGUGAUUCUCCUAACAGCUUUGGAGGCUUUUAGCUAUAUGAUGACAUGUGAAAUUAACAAUAUCAAUUGGCAUAUCUGGUGCACUUUUUGACCUAUUGGAAGCCAUGGUUUCUGAGCUUCUUGCUAAUUGGAUAAUCUUUGCAAAGAAGCCCAAAGAAAUUUGGCAGAUAUGCAUAUGGAUAUGGAUUUAUUGAGCUAUUUAAUGGUCAGAAGCUGUAUAGCUGUGUAUUUUGCCUUUCUGAAGCAUCAAUCAGCUGAAUGAUUAUGUCAAGUCUAUUUGCCUAUUCUUCAAGCUUUGCAAGUAUAAAAAAAGUAAUCAUGUAUGGUACACAGUGUGAACAAGGAUCUUGGCAAUUUAUGCCUCCCAUUGUCGGCUUUUGAUGUUGGCAAGCUUGCAGAUUGUGCAGCCACUUCGUUUUUGCUCAUGGCUUGGGUACCUAAACACCAGCAUUGUACAAACACUAAGGACUGAAGUAGUAAAUCCAAUUAGGGGAUUAUACAUUUUAUUUACAUUUUUUUUAAUAACAUUCUCAUAGUAUUUUUCAUAUGCAUCAUUUUAUUCCUAAGAUCCAUUGUAUUUCAACAAUAUUCAAUGCAAGACAAGGAGUGACAUUGAUCUU